CCUACAAACACACGAAAAUAGCUUAAAACACUAUAAUAACCACAAACUAACUAUAAAAGUGCAAGAAAAUAAGCUAACUAAGUCGCAUAAAUAUGCUCCGAUCAGUUGUGAUAUCAAAUGGUCCGAUCUAUUUUUGCGCACAUGUUACACUCAUGACUAAGAAAACCUAUAUGGUUAGGGUUUGAUAUAAUGUGAUAAUUAAUAAAAGUUCGGAGCUACACGACACGGGAAUGUACUCAAAAGUGAUGGAAAACGUGUGUUUUCCUGGGAGGCCUCGAUGAGUUGGUCCAACAUACCUUGAGCCUCCAAGCAUCCUAUGUCUACGUACGCUGCGAGUCAGACAGGAAGGAUGCUAUGAAGGGUGAAGGGGAGAAGACUGAAGCGAUGGUUGUCCGUAACAUACAACGUGCUGCCAUUGCUGAGACGAUGGAUGAACAGGAACUUGUGGCUGAGCGAGGCACGGCCUUGAUCACCUCUACAGGUGAAGAGGGACAUUCAAACUCGGAGGACGAUCAUCACUAGCACAGAUUCAGCAACGAUGUCAAGUUCCAAUCUCACAAUAGGUCCUCUUGGCAAGAUUGCAACUGCAGCUUCCAGCAGUUAUCUAUGUACGCUUAGGGAUUAGGGAGUCUAGCAUCUACUAGUGAGAAAGAACUAGCGGAAAAAAUGGCUUGGAGAUUAGCUAACAGCAAGCAACCUUUCUUGUAUGUCAUUAGAUCUGGCUCAAUUUGUGGUUCCGAUUGGAUUGACCUAUUGCCUCAAGGUUUUGCUGAAGCUAUAGGAGAAAGAGGUGUUAGACUUAAUAUGUUCAUGUGAGCUGAGAAGAAAUCUUCGAAAGCACAGCAAGUCACACACAGCAGCAAACACUCAAGCACCCUAUGAUCACAAGCAAGGCCUUAUGCACACUCACCACGACUGUAUAACUCAAACCUAUAGGGUGUUUUCUGAGUGUUGGAUUUGGUGGUAUGUGCAGGGACUUAGCCUUAGUAUUACUUUAGUCUAAAAAAGGCUUUUCAAUUGCACUGUACCAAUGAACACUGUUUUGAACCACAUUUCAUUUUAUUUACAAGCUUGCCACUAGGAUAGGAUGCUUUUAACCAACUUUGACUUAAUUUACAAAAUUGCCACUCUGGCUUAAAAACCUAUUUUCUGCUGUUGGUUGCAUUUCACCUUUGACUCGGUAACAGAGAGGGGAGGGGGGCAUCUCUGUCGAAGACAAUCGCUCCCAUUUUUGACUCGGAGACAGCUGGGUGUGCCUCUGGCGAGCGGAGAGAGGGGACAGAGCGACUACAAAGGAGGGAGACACAGGGCCUGAUAGAUUGGAGCUACGGGUUGGACUGAGUGAGAGAGAGAUUUAGGUAGGUGCUCUGCCAGGAUGUAUGGGAUUUUCUCCCAUUUUAGAGAGAGAGAUGGGCCAAGAGAGAGAUACAGAGCAGAAAGCAUGGGUGUGUGUAUUCUUUAGGGUUAACGGGUUACGCACGGAGUCGGUGAGGAGGGGAUGGGUGAGGGACGAAUGGCAAGGUCUGGGAUUUCAAUUUUCUCCCUUGAUUCAAAAG